CCUACGGGAGGCAGCAGUGGGGAAUCUUGCGCAAUGGGCGAAAGCCUGACGCAGCAACGCCGCGUGGGGGAUGAAGGCUCUCGGGUUGUAAACCCCUUUCAGCAGGGACGAAUCAAGACGGUACCUGCAGAAGAAGCCCCGGCUAACUACGUGCCAGCAGCCGCGGUAACACGUAGGGGGCAAGCGUUGUCCGGAUUUAUUGGGCGUAAAGAGCUCGUAGGUGGCUGAGUAAGUCGGAUGUUAAAUCCCCAGGCUCAACCUGGGACACCACCCGAUACUGCUCUGGCUAGAGUCCGGUAGGGGAGCGUGGAAUUCCUGGUGUAGCGGUGAAAUGCGCAGAUAUCAGGAGGAACACCAGCGGCGAAGGCGGCGCUCUGGGCCGGUACUGACACUGAGGAGCGAAAGCGUGGGUAGCAAACAGGAUUAGAUACCCUGGUAGUCCACGCCGUAAACGUUGGGCACUAGGUGUGGGGUCUAUCACGACGUCGUCGCGUAGCUACGCAUUAAGUAGCCCGCCCGUCGGGGUAGGUACGGCCGGCCGAACGGACGUAAACCUACAAACUAGAAGUUAGUACGGCGUGAGACGUGCCGAACGGACGACGACGAGGGGAGGUAGG
rnacentral:rRNA from 1 species